rnacentral:rRNA from 1 species
GAUGAACGCUGGCGGCGUGCCUAACACAUGCAAGUCGAGCGAUUCUCUUCGGAGAAGAGCGGCGGACGGGUGAGUAACGCGUGGGUAACCUGCCCUGUACACACGGAUAACAUACCGAAAGGUAUGCUAAUACGGGAUAAUAUAUAAGAGUCGCAUGACUUUUAUAUCAAAGAUUUUUCGGUACAGGAUGGACCCGCGUCUGAUUAGCUUGUUGGCGGGGUAACGGCCCACCAAGGCGACGAUCAGUAGCCGACCUGAGAGGGUGAUCGGCCACAUUGGAACUGAGACACGGUCCAAACUCCUACGGGAGGCAGCAGUGGGGAAUAUUGCACAAUGGGCGCAAGCCUGAUGCAGCAACGCCGCGUGAGCGAUGAAGGCCUUCGGGUCGUAAAGCUCUGUCCUCAAGGAAG